rnacentral:rRNA from 1 species
ACGGCAGCUACCAUGCAGUCGAGCGGCAGCGGGUCCUUCGGGAUGCCGACGAGCGGCGGACGGGUGAGUAAUGCAUAGGAAUCUGCCCGGUAGUGGGGGAUAACGUGGGGAAACCCACGCUAAUACCGCAUACGUCCUACGGGAGAAAGCAGGGGACCUUCGGGCCUUGCGCUAUCGGAUGAGCCUAUGUCGGAUUAGCUGGUUGGUGAGGUAACGGCUCACCAAGGCGACGGUCCGUAGCUGGUCUGAGAGGAUGAUCAGCCACACUGGGACUGAGACACGGCCCAGACUCCUACGGGAGGCAGCAGUGGGGAAUAUUGGACAAUGGGCGAAAGCCUGAUCCAGCCAUGCCGCGUGUGUGAAGAAGGCCUUCGGGUUGUAAAGCACUUUCAGCGGGGAAGAAAGCCUGGAGGUUAAUACCUUCCAGGGAGGACAUCACCCGCAGAAGAAGCACCGGCUAACUCCGUGCCAGCAGCCGCGGUAA